rnacentral:rRNA from 1 species
GAUGAACGCUGGCGGCGCGCCUAACACAUGCAAGUCGAACGGUUAAAGCACCUUUUAGGUGUGUAUAAAGUGGCGAACGGCUGAGUAACCCGUGGGCAACCUGCCCUCCUCUUGGGGAUAGCCUCGGGAAACCGAGGAUAAUACCCGAUACUUCAAUGUGGCCGCAUGACGACAUUGGGAAAGCUUUUGCGGAGAAGGAUGGGCCCGCGGCCUGUUAGCUUGUUGGUGGGGUAGAGGCCUACCAAGGCAAUGAUGGGUAGCUGGGUUGAGAGACCGACCAGCCAGAGUGGGACUGAGACAAGGCCCAGACUCCUACGGGAGGCAGCAGUGGGGAAUCUUGCACAAUGGGCGAAAGCCUGAUGCAGCGACGCCGCGUGCGGGACGAAGGCCUUCGGGUUGUAAACCGCUUUCAGCAGGGACGAGGCGAUAAGUGACGGUACCUGCAGAAGAAGCCCCGGCUAACUACGUG